CGGGGUGUAGCGCAGCUUGGUUAGCGCGUCGGUUUUGGGAACCGAAGGUCGGGGGUUCAAAUCCCCCCACCCCGACCA
rnacentral:tRNA from 1 species